GACGAACGCUGGCGGCGUGCUUAACACAUGCAAGUCGAACGGAAAGGCCCUGCUUUUGUGGGGUGCUCGAGUGGCGAACGGGUGAGUAACACGUGAGUAACCUGCCCUUGACUUUGGGAUAACUUCAGGAAACUGGGGCUAAUACCGGAUAGGAGCUACUGCUGCAUGGUGGGGGUUGGAAAGUUUCGGCGGUUGGGGAUGGACUCGCGGCUUAUCAGCUUGUUGGUGGGGUAGUGGCUUACCAAGGCUUUGACGGGUAGCCGGCCUGAGAGGGUGACCGGCCACAUUGGGACUGAGAUACGGCCCAGACUCGUACGGGAGGCAGCAGUGGGGAAUAUUGCACAAUGGGCGGAAGCCUGAUGCAGCAACGCCGCGUGCGGGAUGACGGCCUUCGGGUUGUAAACCGCUUUCGCCUGUGACGAAGCGUGAGUGACGGUAAUGGGUAAAGAAGCACCGGCUAACUACGUG
rnacentral:rRNA from 1 species